GACGAACGCUGGCGGCGUGCCUAAUACAUGCAAGUCGAGCGGGGAUUAUGCUUGAUCGCUUCGGUGAGACGGCAUAUAUCCUAGCGGCGGACGGGUGAGUAACGCGUGGGUAAUCUACCUCGUAGUUCGGGAUAACAGGCCGAAAGGCUUGCUAAUACCGGAUGAGUUCAUGCUUAUGCAUAUAGGCAUGAAGAAAGGGCUGGCCCGCUAUGAGAUGAGCCCGCGUCCCAUUAGCUUGUUGGUGGGGUAAUGGCCUACCAAGGCAACGAUGGGUAGCCGGCCUGAGAGGGUGUACGGCCACACUGGGACUGAGACACGGCCCAAACUCCUACGGGGGGCAGCAGUAGGGAAUUUUCGGCAAUGGGCGAAAGCCUGACCGAGCGACGCCCGCGUGAGGGACGAAAGGCCUUCGGUUGUAAACCUCUGUCUGGGGGGAUGAGAACGGACGGUACCCCCGGAGGAAGCCCCGCUAACUACGUGCCAGCAGCCCGCGGUAAUACGCAGGGGCUAGCGUUGCCCGGAA
rnacentral:rRNA from 1 species